GACGACGCUGGCGGCGUGCUUAACACAUGCAAGUCGAACGAUGAACCAGGGCUUGCCUGGGGAUUAGUGGCGAACGGGUGAGUAACACGUGGGCAACCUGCCCCAGACACCGGGAUAACCUCUCGAAAGAGUGGCUAAUACCGGAUAUGACCACUUCGGGCAUCCGACGGUGGUGGAAAGGAUUCUGGUCUGGGAUGGGCCCGCGGCCUAUCAGCUAGUUGGUGGGGUAAUGGCCUACCAAGGCGACGACGGGUAGCCGGCCUGAGAGGGCGACCGGCCACACUGGGACUGAGACACGGCCCAGACUCCUACGGGAGGCAGCAGUGGGGAAUAUUGCGCAAUGGGCGAAAGCCUGACGCAGCGACGCCGCGUGAGGGACGAAGGUCUUCGGAUUGUAAACCUCUUUCAGCAGGGACGAAGCGAAAGUGACUGUACCUGCAGAAGAAGCACCGGCUAACUACGUG
rnacentral:rRNA from 1 species